GUGGGGAAUUUUGGACAAUGGGCGCAAGCCUGAUCCAGCAAUGCCGCGUGCAGGAAGAAGGCCUUCGGGUUGUAAACUGCUUUUGUACGGAACGAAACGGUCCGGGUUAAUACCCUGGGCUAAUGACGGUACCGUAAGAAUAAGCACCGGCUAACUACGUGCCAGCAGCCGCGGUAAUACGUAGGGUGCAAGCGUUAAUCGGAAUUACUGGGCGUAAAGCGUGCGCAGGCGGUGCUGUAAGACAGGCGUGAAAUCCCCGGGCUUAACCUGGGAAUUGCGCUUGUGACUGCAGUGCUGGAGUGCGGCAGAGGGGGAUGGAAUUCCGCGUGUAGCAGUGAAAUGCGUAGAUAUGCGGAGGAACACCGAUGGCGAAGGCAAUCCCCUGGGCCUGCACUGACGCUCAUGCACGAAAGCGUGGGGAGCAAACAGGAUUAGAUACCACGGUAGUCC
rnacentral:rRNA from 1 species